UACGUAGGGGGCAAGCGUUAUCCGGAUUUACUGGGUGUAAAGGGAGCGUAGACGGCAAUACAAGUCGGAAGUGAAAUACCCGGGCUUAACCUGGGAACUGCUUUGGAAACUGUAUGGCUGGAGUGCAGGAGAGGUAAGCGGAAUUCCUAGUGUAGCGGUGAAAUGCGUAGAUAUUAGGAGGAACACCAGUGGCGAAGGCGGCUUACUGGACAGUAACUGACGUUGAGGCUCGAAAGCGUGGGGAGCAAACAGG
rnacentral:rRNA from 1 species